rnacentral:rRNA from 1 species
GAUGAACGUUGGCGGUAUGCUUAACACAUGCAAGUCGAACGGACUCUUCGGAGUUAGUGGCGGACGGGUGAGUAACGCGUGAGAAUCUGGCUUUGGGUUCGGGACAACCACUGGAAACGGUGGCUAAUACCGGAUGUGCCGAGAGGUAAAAGAGAAAUUGCCUGAAGAUGAGCUCGCGUCUGAUUAGCUAGUUGGUGAGGUAAAGGCUCACCAAGGCAGCGAUCAGUAGCUGGUCUGAGAGGAUGACCAGCCACACUGGGACUGAGACACGGCCCAGACUCCUACGGGAGGCAGCAGUGGGGAAUUUUCCGCAAUGGGCGAAAGCCUGACGGAGCAAUACCGCGUGAGGGAAGAAGGCUCUUGGGUUGUAAACCUCUUUUCUUAGGGAAGAACAAAAUGACGGUACCUAAGGAAUCAGCAUCGGCUAACUCCGUG